GGUCAGCUGAUCCCCACCUCCCUGUGGGCACCAGAUACACCUAUCACUUUUCCACCAACACCAGUACUGGCCUGCAGGGGGACCCAGUGGAGAGGGGUGGCCUUGGCCUCCAAGGCUUGGUCAUGGUCGAUGUGCUUGGCCCGUGCCAGAUGGCCUUAUGGCUCCAAGACUUCCAGGCGACAUCCAUCCUGGGGCCCAAGGUGGCAGCUCUGAAGGAGUCGGAGAACUUAAGUGCCAUCCUGAGCCGCAGCCCGCUGCCCUUUGUCCUGCGGGCCGGGCGCGUGGCCCACCUGUGUCCCCGCCGCGCAGAGCCCCGCUGGGCGCUGAAUGUGAAGCGUGGGGUGCUGAGCCUCCUGCAGGGUCUCCCUGGAGCCAGUGACCCCCAGAUCCUUGAGGAGGUGGACGUCCUGGGCAGGUGUCCCACCACGUACCGGCCACAGGGUGACCAGCUGCGCAAGACCAAGGACCUGGCGCGCUGCUCCCUUCGCCAAGUGCGCUCCUCCCUGCGUGCCCAGGCCCUGCCCGGGGAGGAGGCCGGCCUGGCCUCCCGCCUGACCUGCCUCCAGAGUUUCCAGGCUGGCGUGCUGAGGGAGGCCUCCUGCACGGAGCUGCACACCCUGGGGCCCCUCUCUGAGAAGGCAAGUGCUGUGCAGAUGCGGACGCUUUCCUCGCUCACCCUGCUGCGUGAGAUGUCCCUGGAUCCAGCUGUCACAGCGCUUCCCAUAUCAGAUCCAGACGAUGGAGAUAUGACUCCAAGCAGCCUGUUGUACGAAUGGGAGGAAACACAGUCUCAGGCUACAGUAGUCACAGCGGCCACAUUGGUGAGGAUGCUGUGCCUGGCUCAGACCACGAGUUUUGAGGCUGCAGAACUGUUCCUGACACUGGUGUCUGAGCUCCAGGGCCUCUCCCCAGAUGAGCUGUUGGCCCUGUGGCGACAAUCUUCCUUUAAAUGCCGGGACAACUGGUAAGGACCUUCCUGCAGGGACAUGGGAGGUGGGGAGGGGACCAGGAGCUGGUUGGCGGUCCUGGUGGGGCUGGGUGGUCUUGACAGUGUCCCAGGUCCCCACUGAGGGGUGGAUGGUGAUAUCGCAUCUCCUCUCAUCCCUGGGAUAUUGACUUGUCUUUCAGUCUGGGGAUGGCUGCCAAGAAGGUGAUUAAGCGGGGAGCUCGGAGGUUCCCACGGACCGAGCCCUCUUGGGACUAAAGCUGAAAGGCCCCGCAGUAUAAAUACAGGCAUUGUUCCCUCCCUGACUGGGACCCUCUUGCGGAGAGCUGGAAUUAGCAUUCCAAUGUGCCUUGGGUACCCCUCUAACCAUAGGUGGGGGUGUCGGCCAGGCUGGGAUCCCACCACCUGGAUGCUGCUGAUGUGGGGCCAGCAAGGGGGGGUGUAUAUAGAGACCCCGGGGUCCACCGGGGAGCCGGGGGGUUAGGGGGUGUCUCCAAGGAGCUUCGUGAGCUCAGGGCUGUGCAGAGGGGAAGCUUGCGGUUCCUUCCCAAAAUCUAGCCGCUCUUCAGGACCCUGAGAGAUCCGGAGGCGUGACUUUCUCAAAGGCUCCUGAAAAGGUCUCCAAAAAGUUAUCAGCUCCAAAAUACGAAAGGAAAAAAAAAAAAAAAAAAAAAAGGAGUGCAAAAUCAGCAUUACCAAAUGUCUAAUUGACUGACUGCAAAACCUAAUGGCUAAGAUGCUUCAUCAUCUUCUGAAACCCUCUCUUUUACUUUUAUUUUUUAAAGACUGAUUAUUAGAGAGAGACAGACAGACAGUGCAUGGGGAGGGGGAGGGGCAGAGGGCGAGAACCUCAAGCAGGUUCCACGCUGAGCAUGGAGCCCGACAUGGGACUUGAUCUCACAACCCUGAGAUCAGGACCUGAGCUGAAAUCAGAAGUCAGAUGCUUAACCGACUGAGCCACCCAGGCGCCCCUGUAUUCCCCGGUUUAACCCCCACAAGGACCUCGUGGGGUAGGUGGCUUUAUCAUGUUCCUACUUUACAUUUGUGGCAGGAAGUCAAAGCACAGAGCAGUUAGGAAACUGGCCCAAAGUCACACAGCAGAGUUGGGAUUUGAACCCCAGUGGUCUCUGCUUCUCCAUCCAGUACCUCUGGGCUUAAAUAUGUGAUGUUUGACUUAGGCACAGUUUAAUUAUGUCUCCUGUAGAAAAGGGCCUGGAGUCUUCAGAGGGAAUUGCCUGUUUCCCGGGGACAUACCCCACCUGCUACCCUAAGCUUUCCUACAAGCCCGUGUCUCCGCUGUCCAAAUAGAUGUUGGGAGUCAGGGAGGUGGGGAGGCUCAUCCCAAGCCCAGGACUUUCUGAGAAGACACAUGCUCUUCGAGUUCUCUUGCCCCUGCUGCCGCCUCUGCUUCUGGCCAGACCGAGGUCCCCAGGGCCCAAAACUAUAGGGAAAAGAGGAGGUGCGAGGGUGAGGGGUGGAAAGAACGGGUAGGAUGCUGCUGAGAGGAAGUGACCUCUGUGUUUCCAAGGACUCUCGGGCAUGUUGGGGGUGAGGGGGCUUGUACAUCGGCAUUCCCAUUCCCCAGAUGAGCAAGCUGAGGCCAGAGACUGUUUAUGGGCAGAGGGUGUGUAUGUGGGUCGGGGUGGGGGUCUGACCAUCUGCAGUCACGGGUAUCCCUCACCAGGGUGGGGGUGGCCCCGUGCACCCACAGCUGUGCACCCUGCUGGUUCAUGGCGCCUCUCGUUUCUGCUGUGACCCGGGAACCCACCUCCCGUUCGGUUCUGUCCCCACUCAGAGCUACUGUUGUAUAAAGGUUGAGAAUGUCUUCUGAGCUUCUGAACCUUUCUGGAAUCUUGAAAAAGAAAAGAAAAGCAGAGGCCUGAUGUUGACCUGGGGCUGAGGGCACAAGCAGCAACCUGCCAGUGGGUGGUUCUGGUUCGGUGCCGGGGUCCUUGCCCCUCCUUCAUGACCGUGGCAGGUUUUAGCAGAACAGUGGACAGGGCUCGUGUUGCCCGAAGCUGCGGGUUUCCUGGGCGGGCGGACCUGGCAGGGUUUGGACUGGGCUGCCGUUGUCCCCGUGGACCCUAAAAGCCAGGCUGCCCGGGUCCCAGGCCCAGCC
rnacentral:lncRNA from 1 species